rnacentral:rRNA from 1 species
UGAUGGCAUCUGAUUUGGAGCAAAGGUUAUCCGCUAUGGGAUGGGGAUGCGUCCGAUUAGCCAGCCGGCGGGGUAACGGCCCACCGGGGCUUCGAUCGGUAGGGGUUCUGAGAGGAAGGUCCCCCACAUUGGAACUGAGACACGGUCCAAACUCCUACGGGAGGCAGCAGUGAGGAAUAUUGGUCAAUGGGCGCAGGCCUGAACCAGCCAAGUAGCGUGCGGGAUGACGGCCCUAUGGGUUGUAAACCGCUUUUGCGGGGGAAUAAAGUGAGGAACGUGUUCCUUUUUGCAUGUACCCCGAGAAUAAGGACCGGCUAAUUCCGUGCCAGCAGCCGCGGUAAUACGGAAGGUCCGGGCGUUAUCCGGAUUUAUUGGGUUUAAAGGGAGCGCAGGCGGCAUGUUAAGCGUGACGUGAAAUGGUGCGGCUCAACCGCAGCAGUGCGUCGCGAACUGGCGUGCUUGAGUGAGUGCGACGUCAGCGGAAUUCGUGGUGUAGCGGUGAAAUGCUUAGAUAUCACGAAGAACCCCGAUUGCGAAGGCAGCUGACGAGUCCUUUACUGACGCUAAAGCUCGAAGGUGC